UCCUACGGGGCGCAGCAGUGGGGGAUAUUACACAAUGGGGGAAACCCUGAUGCAGCGACGCCGCGUGAGCGAUGAAGUAUUUCGGUAUGUAAAGCUCUAUCAGCAGGGAAGAAAAUGACGGUACCUGACUAAGAAGCCCCGGCUAACUACGUGCCAGCAGCCGCGGUAAUACGUAGGGGGCAAGCGUUAUCCGGAUUUACUGGGUGUAAAGGGAGCGCAGACGGCGGUGCAAGUCUGGAGUGAAAGCCCGGGGCCCAACCCCGGAACUGCUCUGGAAACUGUGCGGCUAGAGUACUGGAGGGGCG
rnacentral:rRNA from 1 species